ACACAAUGCACGAUGCAAAUCCGUGAAGCAGAGAGACAACAUAUAUGCAGAUAGAAUAUAUAUAUAAGCAGAUAAAAAUUAUAGAGGAACAACACAGAAUCAUUAGUUUCCUCUGAAGGUAGCCUCUUAGUAACCAAACCCCGCAGAGGGUCGGUCACAACAACCUGAGGCUCUUAUCUCAGUUACUGUUACGGCAAACAGUAACUGCAUUUAAUGAUAUUUUUGAACGUACUGAUUUGUACUUGUGCUUUCAUGAAACCAACAACUGAGGAAGUAGUAAAAAGAACUGCAACAAUACAGUCAGUUUUCAGGCAUCAUAAAUUGAAGUUUAUCAUCGUCAUGCUAAAUUUAUUGUGAUCAGAAACUUUUCGCGAAAAUGAUAGAUAAUGCAAUAAAGUCCCAUUGUUUAGUCAGGGCGUGAGGGAUUAUACAGCCCAGCCAGAGAGACACUGAAUGGUUUCAAGAAUAUUCUUACAAAAAAGUAAAAAAAAAAAAACAUGGUUCAAAAAUGAUGAAUUGGGCCCAAAACAGAGAUAAAAAUAACAGACUGCAACUCAGGUAGUAACUCAAAGAAGUCAAGCACAAACUGACCUAACAAACAACACAUGAGGGAAACCUAGAUCAUGUGUCAGUAACCCUUGUGCUGAUACACAAGGGUAAUUAAACACGCAAAACCUAAUUAGCAAAUCAAGUAAUUAAACUAAACAAAUACUAUUAGAACCAAACUGCCAAAAAGAAGAAAACUAAAGAAAUAGUCAAACUAAACUAAAGAAAUAACCAAAUUUCCAAUGCCCCCCUCCCCGGCAAAUAAAUGGUAUUACUCGCUGAGGAGAUUUCCUAGCCAUAUAAGGAAACGCAAGAGCUCUUCAAAGGACCAAACAGGUGCAAAUUAACCAGAGAUGUGAAACACAGAAACUUCCUAAGAGAAGGAAGCUGGAUGGGAGGUGCCAUGUGUAGAGAUAUGUUAGAAGAAUUGUACGUUUUAAUCUUCACCUCUCUCUCUAGCUAGAUCUCUGAGAAUAAAUAAUUUUCCUAUCACUCUGAUUUUCCUAAUAAAAAUCUAAAGACAAAUGCACAUUUCUCUGAUUGAUUCAGUGUCUCUAGGAAAAGGAAUUUUGAAUACAAUAGUUAAGUAAAUAUGUGAAUUACAAAUAGUUAACUAAAGAAACAGGCAAGUGAAAAAUAAUCUAAAAUCUAAACUAUUCACUAAUUAAUAUGUAAACUAAUUAUAAGAAUGAACAGAAAAACGGUUACCAUUCAACAUCUCUGUUGAAUGUGUCAGCUGUCACACAGGGUCUCGUCUCUCGAGAUUGUACAUUUAUUCACAUUACAUGCAUUUUUCAAAUCUUACAUAACUUCUCAAUUUUUUAAAAUAAACAUAAAUCAGCAUACAUAUAAAACAAAAAAAGAGA